rnacentral:rRNA from 1 species
AUGCAGACGCAGAGGUCGCCGGCGAUGGUGGGGGGAGGGCCCGGGUCGGCGGUCGGGUCGCCGUCCCCGGCGACGGUGCCGGUGAGGCGGCGCUGCGAGGGCACGGCCAUGGGGGCCGUCACCCUCGACCUCCGCCCCGGCCUCGGCGUNNNNNNNNNNNNNNNNGGGAUGCCGAUUUCUGAUGCAUUUGCGCAGAUUGAACACCAGCCAAACAUUUACGAUGUUGUCCACGUGAAGUACUUCGACGAGGAGCCUCUAAAGUUGGACUUCGUCAUAAGCUUUCCGGAUCACGGGUUUCACUUACGCUUCGAUCCUUGGUCCCAGAGGCUUCGUCUCAUCGAGAUUUUUGAUGUUAAGAGACUGCAAUUGCGUUACGCGACGUCUUUAAUUGGCGGUCCAUCGACGCUAGCCACUUUUGUAUCUGUUUAUGCUCUAUUCGGACCGACUUUCCCUGGGAUAUAUGAUAAAGAGAGGGGCAUGUAUACCCUCUUCUAUCCAGGUUUAUCAUUCGCAUUCCCUAUCCCCAGUCAAUAUACAAAUUUCUUCAACAAUGGGGAAGUGGCAGAUUUGCCCCUGGAAUUUCCCGAUGGAACAACUCCGGUUACGUGUCGUGUUUCUAUAUAUGAUAGCUCAACAGAUAGCAAAGUUGGUGUUGGAUCAUUGAUGGAUAAGGCAGUUAUUCCUGCCUUACCUGCGGGCAGCCUAUAUAUGGAGGAAGUACAUGCAAAGCUUGGUGAAGAGCUUUGGCUCACUACUGGGGGGCAGCAUAUUCCUUUCGGAGCAUCGCCACAGGAUAUCUGGACCGAAUUGGGUCGUCCAUGUGGUAUCCACCAAAAGCAGGUGGACCAAAUGGUUAUACACUCCGCAUCCGACCUCCGCCCUCGGACUACUCUUUGUGGAGACUACUUCUACAACUACUUCUCGCGUGGUAUAGAUAUCUUAUUUGAUGGUCAGACUCACAAGAUAAAGAAGUUUGUUUUACAUACAAACUUCCCUGGUCAUUCUGAUUUCAAUUCGUACAUGAAAUGCAACUUUGUUAUCUACGAUGCUGAAGCUGAAGGGGCACAGCAGCCGGGUAACACUUCCAAGAAUUGCAUAACACCUCGAACAAAAUGGGAACAAGUCAAGGAGAUCCUUGGCGACUGCGGUCGAGCAGCAAUCCAGACACAGGGCUCGAUGAAUAACCCAUUUGGAUCAACUUUCGUCUAUGGAUACCAAAAUAUUGCUUUUGAGGUGAUGAAGAAUGGAUAUAUUGCCACCGUUACUCUCUUCCAGUCAUGA